CACAUGACAAGGUCGAACGGUAGAGUAGCAAUACUUGAGAGUGGCGAACGGGUGAGUAAUAUAUCGGAACGUGCCCAGUCGUGGGGGAUAACGUAGCGAAAGCUACGCUAAUACCGCAUACGAUCUACGGAUGAAAGCGGGGGGAUCGCAAGACCUCGCGCGAUUGGAGCGGCCGAUAUCAGAUUAGGUAGUUGGUGAGGUAAAGGCUCACCAAGCCGACGAUCUGUAGCUGGUCUGAGAGGACGACCAGCCACACUGGGACUGAGACACGGCCCAGACUCCUACGGGAGGCAGCAGUGGGGAAUUUUGGACAAUGGGCGCAAGCCUGAUCCAGCAAUGCCGCGUGCAGGAUGAAGGCCUUCGGGUUGUAAACUGCUUUUGUACGGAACGAAACGGUGAGCUCUAAUACAGUUUGCUAAUGACGGUACCGUAAGAAUAAGCACCGGCUAACUACGUG
rnacentral:rRNA from 1 species